rnacentral:rRNA from 1 species
AUUGAACGCUGGCGGCAGGCCUAACACAUGCAGCUCGAGCGGGGUUUUCGGACCUAGCGGCGGACGGGUGAGUAAUGCGUAGGAAGCUACCCGAUAGAGGGGGAUACCAGUUGGAAACGACUGUUAAUACCGCAUAAUGUCUACGGACCAAAGUGUGGGACCUUCGGGCCACAGGCUAUCGGAUGUGCUUACGUGGGAUUAGCUAGUUGGUGAGGUAAUGGCUCACCAAGGCGACGAUCCCUAGCUGGUUUGAGAGGAUGAUCAGCCACACGGGAACUGAGACAGGGUCCAGACUACUACGGGAGGCAGCAGUGGGGAAUAUUGGACAAUGGGCGGAAGCCUGAUCCAGCCAUGCCGCGUGGGUGAAGAAGGCCUUCGGGUUGUAAAGCACUUUUAGUAAGGAAGAAGCGUUGAGUGUUAAUAGUACUCAGCGUUGACGUUACUUACAGAAGAAGCACCGGCUAACUCUGUGCCAGCCGCCGCAGUAAAAC